rnacentral:lncRNA from 1 species
AUGAUGGAUUCUAUAUGAAUUUUCAUAUUUUUCUAUUGUAAUAGCAAACACUUUAUUGAGGUUUUCAAUUGCCAGUUCAUAAGCAGGUGUCAGACUGACCCACAUAAGAAUAAUGUAUAGAACUUGCUAAAAUAAAAGAUUUCUGCUUCCUAUACCUAGCAUUUGUGAUUCAGCAGGACUGGUGUGAGUUCUAUGAAUCCCUAUUUUAAUAACUCUUCAGAAUUUUUAAACACCUUAGAUGAUAUUAAUAGAUUACUUCUGUCCACCUUUUACUCUGUACUUGUAAGGAAUGUGAUGGGGUUCAGGGCAGGCCUCCCCAAGAUGCACCACUCUGGUAUGUGGACUAUUUCGAGCUGAAUACAAUAAAGACUCAGAAGACUCAGGAAGAGCAUCCGACCGACCUUCCUGCCCCCAAACUGCCUGAAAGACUUUAACAGAGAAGGCCUGUUCCAGGAAGGAGCUCAUACCAUGUGAUAGCUAUGGCAUGAUGUAAAAUAGGUGUGAUAAAAGGACACCUACAAACCCAUUUUCUUGGCCCAGCAAAACCUGUUUAACUAACAUUUGCAUUCCAUCUCUGUGUAGAUUGUCUUACUCUACUUUGAAGCCCCAAAUCAAUAUCCCCAGUGUCCUCCUUGUCUGUAGGUAAAGAUAUUUAAACAGGCAGCCUUGGCCAGAUGGUUGAGUUGCUCAGUUUCUCCUGAGUUUCUCCUGUGUAUACAUGCUGUUAAACUGUUUGAUUUUCUCCUGCCUCUUUAAUUAUUUGACCAGCCAUAAGAACCUUCAGGAAGAGUCGGGGGGUUGGGGGGGUGGUGUGGAUUCUCCCACCUCCCCAACAACUGUUUUAAGCCAGGUAGGUUCCAAAGUUCUUUGUGAUAUGAUACCCACUUUGGGGGAAAACCUGAACAAAAUAAACUAUACUUUUUGAAAUGGAAAAUAGGGAGAACUUCUUUCUUUUUAAUUUUUAUAGAAGACCAAAUUCCCAUAUGUCUAUUUGCUAGAAAUUAGCUUCCUGAAAAGGUCUUGCAGCUGCUUCUGAGAUUUAGGCAGAUUUUGUUGCUCAUGUGCUGUUGAACAAGUCUCUUAGGGUGUUCUCAUCAGCCUUUUUCCUUUCUGUCCGUGUCACAAUCGCUGCCACUUCUGUGCCAGUGACUGACAUUGAAGUCUUACUUUGGCCCUAUUGAGGGGACUCUGGCUUUAUUGUUUUUUUCUUACUGCUUGUUAUGCACAGAGCUCUCUGGAAGACCUCACACUGCUGUCCCGGACUCCAAGUGCCCCCGAGCCUCACGACUCUAUGCUUAGGGGGCUACCUCUUCGUUGCUGUGACUCGGUGGAAGUUGGGAGCAGUUUGUCUGCUCCUUGCAUCUCUUCAGGUGGCCAAGAGGAGAACUCCUACCCCAUCAGGACUGCUCCAGGAACUAAGAAAAGGCCAUGUGAACACACAGCAAAAUGGGGGCCAUCUGCAAGACAGAAAGAGAGUUCUCACCAGAAACUAAACUCUACCAGACCUUGAUCUUGGACUUUCCAGCCUCCAGAACUGUGAUAAAAUCAAUUUCUUUUGUUUAAGACACCCUGUCUAUGGUAUUUUGUUAUGGCAGCUUGAGCUGACUAAUACAACCCCCAUCAAACAUCAACACUUUCAAAGGCAAAACAUCAUUUAUUCAAAGAAGAUGUUAUUUGACAAAAUUUUAAAAGAACACACAACAAACAGCAUAAAUUGACGUAGUGUGGAUAAACAUCAUUUGGCGUCCCUUGGCUUCUGAAAUCUAGAUACAAUUGUCUUCAAACCCUUCUUCCCGCCUUUUUGCCACGGGAAGACCACAGUCCACACGGAUGUCUGCACAUCCCUUGAAGGAGGAGGAAGACAUUUCCUCUAACCACUCUGGAUCCUUCUGGCCAGAAAACGAAUAAAAUUCACAUGAGACAGAAUAACAGAAGAAAAUUAAACAAAGCUUUAUAACAUGUAUACAUGGGAGAGACUCAGGCAAACUCAGCUACUUGCCAAAAUGGUAGAAGCUCUCACCUUGAACACCACCCUCAGGAGUGGGCCUUUGUGAUCCUGUGUGCCCCUCAGAAUCCUCUCUCUGGGUUAAGGAAUUGAGCUAAUGUAAAAAAAUUGGAUCUUCUCCCUAGGAAUAUGAAACUGGGGCUCAGAAAAUAGAGAAUACUGUCAGACACCUCAAACGAGAAUGAAGAGUUGCAAUUGCAGGAAGAAAUAUGACUGGUCCUUAUUUGAACUCUGGUCCAUUUCCUACCCAGAAGGAAUUAAGACUCUGCCCUGGUUUCUAUGUCAUCCUCCACCAUGAGAUGAAAAAUGAGAGCCCAUAAGGAGUCAGAAAACAAAGCAUUGCCUUUGAAGAUAUGUAUGAGUUGCUAACAAAUGACUGACUCUGGAUCUGAACAAUGAAAGCCAGAGAAUGAAAGACAUACCCAAGCAAAUCAUGCUGAUCAGAAUUACUAAUAUAUGUGAUCUUCUUGGUAUCUGGACAUCAGCUUUUCCAAAGCACCAUUAUUGGCAAAUCUGUAAAUUUUAAAAUCUGCAAUUGUGCUGGGUAGCAAUGGCGCCCUCCAAGUUUCAGUCCCUCACAAUGUGCUGUUCACCCUGCUCCCGAAAGGAUCCCGAGGGCUGGGAGCCAAAUAUAUAUAUCUUUCUCCACUCUCCCCACAAGCAGAAGGUUGCAGAAAUCUCCUUUUGGGAACCUGACCAAUCCUCUAAAAAAGACUUACAGAUAGUGAAGUCGGGAGUUUCUUAACGAGAUGGACAAGUCAAGUCCUGCUAUAAUAAAGGCUCUGUUUUCCGGGAAGAGAAGGAAAUGGAAGGAUUGAGUGCGGAAUUCCUUUGGUACAGAGUGAAGCAUGGCCACAGGCUCGAGAGGUGAUAUGGUGCAGCAGCAAGUUCAUGGGCUUUGAAGUACAGCAGAUUCGGGUGUGAAACCCAGCUCUGGAAAUUACUAGCUGAGGACUUGGAGCUCUACCAAUGCUGCUUACUCAAAUGUGAUAGGACGGCUUAUGCUUAUCUGUGAGUUGAUUGUCAUAGGUGUGUAAUAAGAAAAGAAAUUGAGGAGUAAGGAUUUAAAAACUAUCAAGGUGCCAUUUCUGUGAGAUCACUUUUGUGAUCACUGGGUUUGUCUCACUGAAUGGGGUACAGACUCGCGCAAGCGCUGUUCAACUUGGGACGAAAGCUGCAUUCUAGUUGUGCACAGUAGGACCAGGAGACAACACGUGAUUAUUUAGUUUGACGGGAAGAAUUAAACAACAAUAAGAAGAAAGUAUGGCUAUUUAUUUUAAAAAUCGCAAAUUUUCAUCAUAUUUUAAAUGUAUAGUUUGCCAUUAUUGGAUAAAUUAAGGAAUUAAAUUUUAACUGUAAUUUGCAGAAGGUAAAGAAGAUUUACAAGAAUUGUUUUGUUAAGAAAUGACACAACUUUUCUUUCAGAAGUACUAUAUCAAAUAAUGGGAGUUAUUUCAAGGAAUGAAGAAGAAAUUUUAACUCUAAUUUACACAUGGUUAAAGAAGAUGCACUGCACCUUUUGUCAAGAAAUGGCACACCUUUUCUUUCAGUAGUGUGUUAAAUAAUGAUUGAAUUUGCUUCAGAGAAACGAAGACCAAAAGAGGUCAAGCUAGUUUUACUCAGAACUAUUAUCCCUCAUAUAUUAAAUUUAUUUUGUAGCUAUAAUAGGUGAUGAAGUGAUAAAAAAGAGUGUUAUUUGCUGAGAUGAAUUAGCUACUGAAGCAAUUAAACCAUCAAAACUUAAGUGGCGUUUACAUUCACAGCAUAAAGAAAUACAUCCAAAGCCACAAGAAUACUUUGAAAGGAAGAGUAUUGAAAUAGAAAGCUGACGGUAGCAGAUGUUCGAUAUUUCACAUAUAAACUUUACUGCUUUGCAGACUUUGUAUAAGGUAGCACUUCAGUUUCCUAAGAAUAAAAACAUCAUAUACAAUUACUGAGAAGCUAGUGAACAACUGUAUUAAAGAGUUUAUCUGGAAAUGUGUCUAUGGCAAAGCAGGUGACUCAAGUAUCACUUGCCAAUAAAACUAUAACUUGACAUAUUCAAAAAUUGGCUAAUGAGAUAGAAGACCAACUUACAGAAAAAAAUAAAGCUAGCGAAGUUUUUUUGUUUUUGGUUUUUUUCAGUGAGGAAGUUUGACCCUGAGCUAACAUCUGACACCCAUCUUCCUCUUUUACACCUAGGAAGAUUGUUGCCGAGCUAACAUCUGUGCCAAUCUUCCUCUAGUUUUUGUAUGUGGGAUGCUGCCACAGCAUGGCUUGAUGAGUGGUGUGUAGGUCUGCUCCUGAAAUCUGACCCCAGAAACCAAGGAUGCUGAAGCAGAGCUCACGAAUUUAACUAUGCCAACGGGCUGGCCCCUGCAAAGUAUUUUUUAUUACAAUUUGAUGAAUUCCAUAGCAUAACAUGGUAAUGCUUUUAAAAUUUAUGCAGUCUAAACAUUAUGUUGAUAUGAUGGAGGAAUAUUUUUCAGAUUAAUUGAUGACAAACAUGACUAGCCCUGAAUUGUGCAAAACUAUGACAGGUAGCAUUGUCAACAAAUGUGGUUUGGAAUUUAAGUUUUGUGUAGGAGUAUGUUCUGUGGGGUAGUCAUCCAGAAUAAGAAGCUUGCGACAGAAUGUAAAUUGAUACAGUACUUCUUCACAGAGAAAAUAUUGCCAAAAAAAAAAAAAUCAACUGUCAGCUAUUCAGUUGGUUUAGAUGUGAACUAUGUAAAGACUGUGUGUUAUAUUUUAAAAUAUUCUUUUAAUUAUAUGAUAAUACAGAAGAUGAUCAUAAAUGACUGAUAUUGCAUGUAGGAUUAUGAUAGCUAACUGAGAAAAAUAUUUUAUUGAGAGUGCUUGACAUAUGGAACACACUCCAAAUAUUCUUCAAGAUAAACUGGUUUUGUCACAGUUUUAAGGAAGUGAAUUGGACAGCCAGACUUGCUAAUUGCUUUGAUAUAUUUGGUAUUUUUAAUUCUUUAUUACUUCCACGCAAUGAAUAAAUUUAACAUGAUUUCAAUGACAGAUAAAAUCAAGGGCACACGAAAAAGUUAAAAGUUUAGAACAGUGUCUAUAGAUUGUUACACAACAUUCCAUAAUUAACAAUAAUUAUAAAUGAAGCAGAUGAUGAUUUUGAUGUUGGCCAUUUGCAAAAAGGUUGUCAAUGGACACCUUAACCAUUUGAUAUAUCAUUUUAAUUUUAUUUUCCAUUAAAAGGAAAUCCAUACAUAGGAAACUCGUGGAUCCAGAUUUUAUUCCUUUCAUUGAAAGAUAAUUUAAAUUUAACUAUGAGAUAAAGUUUAUAAGAUAAACUGGUGAGACUGGCUACUGGUGAGAAUUGAAGAUGAAUUUUGAAAGGACAGCAUCACUUGCAUCAUUUUGGAUGAAAGUUAAAAAUGAAUAUACUGAGCUUGCUGAAAGUGUUUUUAAAAUUUCUUCUUCCAUUUCUACUAAUAUACUUCUGCGAGAUUGGUUACUAUGAGCAUCAUUCAAACGUAACAUAGAUGUAUUUAAAUAUAUAUUAAAUAAUAUUGUAAUCAUGCAACCUAAAUUAAAUAAAUUAACAUGUGGAAAUCCAGAUACUUUAUCAGAUUAAAAACUUUAAAUAUUGGUUGCACAUCGUUCAUUCAAAAUGUAAAUAGGCAUUUAAUAUGAG